rfam:Papio anubis isolate 1X1155 chromosome 1, whole genome shotgun sequence.
AAUUGAGUGCCCAAAGUGUGAGAGGGCUCCCGAAACUGCAUGCUUGGUUGAAGAAGACAACCAUCCCUGAUAGAGAACUGGUCUUCGGUCAAGGGUAUAUGAGCAGCUGCACUCCCCUGCUAGAACCUCCAAACAAACUCUCAAGGUCCAAAGUGUGAGAGGGUGGCCGUGCAUGGUGGUUCACGCCUGUAAUCCCAGCACUAUGGGAGGCGGAGGUGGGUGGAUCACUUGAG